rnacentral:rRNA from 1 species
AUUGAACGCUGGCGGCAGGCCUAACACAUGCAAGUCGAGCGGAUGAAGGUAGCUUUCUCCUGGAUUCAGCGGCGGACGGGUGAGUAAUGCCUAGGAAUCUGCCUGGUAGUGGGGGAUAACGUCCGGAAACGGGCGCUAAUACCGCAUACGUCCUGAGGGAGAAAGUGGGGGAUCUUCGGACCUCACGCUAUCAGAUGAGCCUAGGUCGGAUUAGCUAGUUGGUGGGGUAAAGGCCUACCAAGGCGACGAUCCGUAACUGGUCUGAGAGGAUGAUCAGUCACACUGGAACUGAGACACGGUCCAGACUCCUACGGGAGGCAGCAGUGGGGAAUAUUGGACAAUGGGCGAAAGCCUGAUCCAGCCAUGCCGCGUGGGUGAAGAAGGUCUUCGGAUUGUAAAGCACUUUUAGUUGGGAGGAAGAGCAGUAAGUUAAUACCUUGCUGUUUUGACGUUACCAAAAGAAUAAGCACCGGCUAACUUCGUG